AUUGAACGCUGGCGGCAGGCCUAACACAUGCAAGUCGAACGGUAACAGGAAGCAGCUUGCUGCUUUGCUGACGAGUGGCGGACGGGUGAGUAAUGUCUGGGAAACUGCCCGAUGGAGGGGGAUAACUACUGGAAACGGUAGCUAAUACCGCAUAACGUCGCAAGACCAAAGAGGGGGACCUUAGGGCCUCUUGCCAUCGGAUGUGCCCAGAUGGGAUUAGCUAGUAGGUGGGGUAACGGCUCACCUAGGCGACGAUCCCUAGCUGGUCUGAGAGGAUGACCAGCCACACUGGAACGGGGACACGGUCCAGCCCCCGACGGGAGGCAGCAGGGGGGAAUAUUGCAAAAUGGGGGCAAGCCGGAUGCAGCCAUGCGGGGUGUAUGAAGAAGGCCUUCGGGUUGUAAAGUAUUUUCAGCGGGGAGGAAGGGAGUAAAGUUAAUACCUUUGCUCAUUGACGUUCCCCGCAGAAGAAGCCCCGGCAAACUCCGU
rnacentral:rRNA from 1 species